GACGUAGGGCGCAAGCGUUGUCCGGAUUUAUUGGGCGUAAAGAGCUCGUAGGCGGUUUGUCGCGUCUGCUGUGAAAACCUCAGGCUCAACCCCGGACUUGCAGUGGGUACGGGCAGACUAGAGUGUGGUAGGGGGAGACUGGAAUUCCUGGUGUAGCGGUGAAAUGCGCAGAUAUCAGGAAGAACACCCGUGGCGGAAGGCGGCUCUCUGGGACGGUACUGGACGCUGAGACGCGAAAGCGUGGGGAGCGAACAGG
rnacentral:rRNA from 1 species